rnacentral:lncRNA from 1 species
UGUUCUCUUUCCCGCGAGCUGCGCCACAAAGGAGCGGGGCGGUAGGAAGGCAGAGAGGCGGGCGAGCAAGCAGGGAGGGACCCCUAGGGUUUUAGGAUGGCCGAAGGCGCCUGGCGAGGGUGAGCGGUUGGGGGGCGGGGGCUGCUGUUGGGCACGGCACAGCCAGCGGCUGAGUCCGUUGGCGGGCAGGGCUGGUGACCCUUUCCCCGGGGCCUGGCCCUGGAGCCACCAUGUUUUUGGCGCUCAAGGAGAGACUCCAGUUGGACUGGGUGGCCUGGCGGCUGCAUGUGUUCUACAAGCGGAAGAAGCACAAGUUCAUCUUCAUCAUCUCCUGGAAUGAGAUUGAGGGCAAGUUUGCCAUAACCUGCUAAAACCGGAUGGCCCAGAGGCAGAGGAGCGGCACCAGCGGUCAGGUCUACUUGGGCCACGACCUGGACACCUGUGGCUGGAAGAUCCUCUCCCAAGAAUUCUUCACGGAAACCCACGACUGGGAGUAUUAUGAACCCUUAGCGAGCUGCAGCAGAAGGACCAGGAAGCGCAUCCAGGAGUGAGGCCAGACCCAGGCACUGAGUGAGCAAGACUGCGAGCUGAGAUUCUGGAGCUGCUGCCACCACCCAGCAUGAGAGCGAGGGAGCACCCGAGGGACCCAGCCCCUGUGCGCUGGCCCAGCCGAGACCUGCGCCCAACCUGGGGCCAGCGGGAGCCACGGCCCCCCGUCUCCCCACUCCCCUCCCUGCCGCAUCGGCA